UAAAAACUUUUGAAAUUAGUUUUGCCCAAAAUAAAGAGUAAAAAUUUAAAAUAAAAGAAUAUAUAAAGUUGCCAGAAACCAGUAAGGAAUGGAAAAAGGAAUGCAACAAAUUUAACAGACGUUGGAACUUCCCCCAUUGCAUAGGUUCAAUCGAUGGGAAGUAUAAGAACACCAAAGGAGAGCCAAGAUUUUUACCUAAAUUACAAAAAUACCUACUCUCUUGCUUUAAUGGCUA